GACAUGACAGAAAUGGAAUGCAGCAUUUAUAAAAAACAAAACCAAAACAAAACAAAAACCCAAACAAAUCCACUUAGCUGAACUAAGUGAAGAAAUUACUCCAAAUUUGAUAUUUAUUUUAUUAGACACAGAUCAAACGUGGAAACAUUUAAUAGGAAUUCAGAGAGACUAGAUAGAGAAUAUUUAGUCUGCCAGAUUGCAGUAGUUCUGAUAGUUGUUCAAAAUGACUACACAGUGUGCUUGGUCAAUACCUGACGCUUAAUAAAUCAACUUGACAACUUAUUUUAUUGAAGUCCAAAUAUCCACAAUUCACCUGUGCCCCAAAACACAUCAAUCUGCAAAUCUUUAGAGAGCAAUCAAAGAGUGUAUCAAACUUCCAUGUCAAUCUUCCCUCCUCUUCUGCUUUCUUGCCACCUACACAGUGCUCAACAUUUUUUCUGAUUAAAGGAUUUAGCAGAUAGAUUUUAGGAGUCAUUAAGUCCUGCUUCCUCAUCCUUCACUGAAAGGUAAGAUUUGGUAUGUAUGGAAGCACAAUACUUGAAAGUUAGAACGGUUAACAAUAAAGAAACACCAAAAAACCCCAACAUAAUAAAGAAACUUCUGUAGCAAUCUAAAAAUCACAUACUAAUAAACUGUUAUAUGACAGGAUAAAUUUCAGUCAUAAAAAUCUGUUCUUAAAUGGAUAUAUUUUAACUUAUUCUUAUAACCUAAAGAUUCCUUAAGUCAAUAGCAUGUCAUAACUGAGUAAAUGCACUGCUAGCAAAUUUAUUGGCCGCCUUCUACAGUAUGAAAUACCAAAUAUUGUCAGAAGCUGAAUUUUGAAUAAUUGACCCAGGAAAUUAAAUCAGCUACAGCAAAUCCUGUGUCAUCAGGCUAUAUUAUUCCUUGACACAACAUGAAUUCCACUAUUGUGUAGUCUAAUUUCAUAUGAGUCAGAAAAAGGUGUAAUAAUGAAAAUAAUAAUUAAAAAAACCUCUUAACAAUAAUGUUUAUAUAUAGGCAUGCUGUACAGACAGUGGAAUUUUGUGCUCCAUCUUUCUUAUCUACAAACAUAACUUAAAUUACAUCUCUCAAGCAACAAUCUUCAAAAUGUGUUUGUAAUGUUUCUAUCUUUGUCACCCAUGUUUUAAGCUUUCCAAAGGACCUGCUCGCAUGAAAUGUUCCUGAUUUCUGCUUCUUUAGACAGAUACUGACUGUAUGGGAAAUCCAUGCACACCCACACUGCUGAAGAGAAAGGGCUUAAUCUGUAACAUACCAGAAAUUUGGACCACCUUCACUCGAGUCACCGUUUUAGGCAAAAACAUGUUAAAUUCCUGCAGUAAUGCUGACCAGAAGAGCAUUUCCUAUUGAGGAGCCAGUGAAUCCCAACAGGAUGACCCUGGGAGCCCCAGGCUGUGCUGCAUGGCCAGGGCAGCUUUCAGACCUGUUCCUGCCACACAGAUCUCUGGCAGGGGCAGAGCCUCAGCCAGCUCAUGGCAACAGAGGCGCUGCAGGCAGCCCCCACUCAGUGAUACACCUCGCUUUUUAUUUAGCAGUGCAACAAGAAGCUCUCAGGAGAACAUUGUUUUUGUUUGCAGAAAUGGCAGCAUCCUUUCUUCCUAAGAAAAUCCUAUACCAGCUUGCUAUGGUCUAGGUGUGCAUGAUGUUGCACACAGGUCAGUCCUGUUUGAUGGUACGCUGCCCAGGGCUCCCAGCCUGUAAAGGAGCAUAAAAUUAUCUACACUGUUCUCUUCUUAUGGUGCCAGCUCUAAAUCCCAGCAUUUUCAAUGAUGUCAAAGCAAGAGCUGUAAUAAGUAUGGACUGGCUGUAAAUUUUGAUAACACCUUGAAAAGAAAAAUGGUAUAUCCUGAAUCUCCCUCUCUUUGUUUUACUAUGAAACUUCCUCUGUCAACAUAUUUCAAGUUAAAAUCUCAUGUUUCUACCUGAGUAAUGUGUCUUGAGAAGACUGUUUUGGCAUGUAUUUCAGUAAAAUUUUAUUCUAAAAUACAAGAAAAAAUAUAGAUGCAGUUGACACUGCAAAUCACCUUUAUUUUUGGUAUAAUUAAUCUGGUUCUCAUUCUAAUUUGUAAAAUAAUAAACAAAAACACUUGGCUAUCUCUCAGGCUUUAUGACUGCAAAAAUCCAUUAAAGAUGGAUUUAAAACCAAAAA